rnacentral:rRNA from 1 species
AGUGAACGCUGGCGGUAGGCCUAACUCAUGCAAGUCGAACGGCAGCACAGUAAGAGCUUGCUCUUACGGGUGGCGAGUGGCGGACGGGUGAGGAAUACAUCGGAAUCUACUUUUUCGUGGGGGAUAACGUAGGGAAACUUACGCUAAUACCGCAUACGACCUACGGGUGAAAGCAGGGGAUCUUCGGACCUUGCGCGAUUGAAUGAGCCGAUGUCGGAUUAGCUAGUUGGCGGGGUAAAGGCCCACCAGGGCGACGAUCCGUAGCUGGUCUGAGAGGAUGAUCAGCCACACUGGAACUGAGACACGGUCCAGACUCCUACGGGAGGCAGCAGUGGGGAAUAUUGGACAAUGGGCGCAAGCCUGAUCCAGCCAUACCGCGUGGGUGAAGAAGGCCUUCGGGUUGUAAAGCCCUUUUGUUGGGAAAGAAAAGCAGCAGGUUAAUACCCCGCUGUUCUGACGGUACCCAAAGAAUAAGCACCGGCUAACUUCGUG